CCUACGGGAGACAGCAGUGGGGAAUAUUGCACAAUGGGGGAAACCCUGAUGCAGCGACGCCGCGUGAGUGAGGAAGUAUUUCGGUAUGUAAAGCUCUAUCAGCAGGGAAGAAAAUGACGGUACCUGACUAAGAAGCCCCGGCUAACUACGUGCCAGCAGCCGCGGUAAUACGUAGGGGGCCAGCGUUAUCCGGAUUUACUGGGUGUAAAGGGAGCGUAGACGGCUAAUCAAGUCAGAAGUGAAAACCCAGGGAUCACCUUGGGACUGCUUUUGAAACUGAGUAGCUAGCGUGCAGGAGAGGUAAGCGGAAUUCCUAGUGUAGCGGUGAAAUGCGUAGAGAUUAGGAGGAACACCAGUGGCGAAGGCGGCUUACUGGACUGUAACUGACGUUGAGGCUCGAAAGCGUGGGGAGCAAACAGGAUUAGAUACCCUAGUAGUC
rnacentral:rRNA from 1 species